CUGAUUACAUAAGUAAUUUGGGAAGGCAUGUGUUGGGCUUUAAUAGGGCCGAUUGAGUAGAAAAAGGUAAGCGUAAAAUCAUUAUCGUAGCCCAACUAAAAAACCCAACGGUUCAAUUUCAAACGGUCGGGUUUAAGGAUUCGGAUCUUCAAUUCGCCGAUCAUCGUCUCACAAACAGCUCCGUCUCGUUCGCACAAACACACAAGUGACUUGACCGUUACGACGACUCGAACGAUGGCCACGAAAGAGGAGUGAUAGUUUCGUUUCCCAUUCAGUGUUUUUCUCUCCGAUCCAAAACCCUAGCGAGGUUCCGGUUGUUCCCGUGGCCGUAAUCAACGCGUAUCACAUCUUCCUGAUUAUCCUUCACGCGACGGAGAUAAUUUAACUCAGGAUCGUCUUAUUUGUUGAUCGUAUAGAUUAAUUCGGCUCGCGUCUUCUCGAUUUUGCCAACGUUGCUGUGGAAUUGCGUUACCGUUCCCAAUUUUCAACUCCUGGAAUCUCGUGAGAAGUCAACACCUUUACAGAUUACUGAGGAGAGAUUAACUGCCCCGUAUGGUCAGCUUGUCCGUAUAUCUUACACUGAUCUGAAGAUUGUUUAUUUGUAACUUAUUUCGCUUCCGGGAUGAAUAAUUUGUUGCAGAUUUACAGUGAAAGCGAGACAUGUUCUACAUGAAAGCACAGACAUAAUUUUGAGCAUUUGGAUAUAAAUUUUUUUUCUUGCAUUCUAUCCUUUCAAAGAAACUCCUUUUUAACAUUCCUUGUCAUGGACGCUCCCAAUCCCAAGCGACCUUACCUUGCCCCUUUGGUUACCUACUCCAUAGAAAACCCUUUUUCCCUCCCUAUUGCUCCAGAUUUCAACCAAAGCAACAUUGAUAUGACUAUCUCUUCUUUCCUUUCAUUGUCCGACUUGCCUUUGUUCUCCUCACCGCUCUCCAUAGGAUGCUCUUUUGAUCGAGUGCUUGAUAAAGUCAUCCCCUCAGCAGCUGGAACUUCCCGUGAUGAAUUUGAUCAGGAUCGUUUCCUGGAUCGUACUCUCCAACUCGCAUCGCUUCUUUACAAGUCCACCAAACGUUGCAUAAGGAAACGUGCCACCCUCCAAAAUUCCUCAUCCUGGCCUCUCCUCCCUGAACUAACCACUAAGGUCUUUUCAAUGCUUGAUACGAAGUCUCUCAUGCAAGCUUCUGCAUGUUGCACGUUGUUCAACAAAUGUGCCAUGGAUCGUGUAUGUUACUCCCACAUCGACCUGACAACGGCUGUCGAAGAUGUUGAUAAUGGAGUUGUGUGCGUAAUGAUCCAUCGGGCUGGAAAAGAACUCAGAUCCCUCAAACUUGGUUCUAUUUCUUCCUCAGCUGGAUUUACUACAUCUUCGCUGACAAGAUCCUGUCUUACCCCACUAACUUUUAACCAUGGUUUUGCUGGGGGUCAUUUGAGAAGCCUACACCUUUACCAUCUCAGAAUGAUGGAUUGCGAGUCCUUAUCUCCUGUGUUGUCAGCUUGUUUAAAUCUCACUGAUUUGAAGAUUGUUGGACUUAUUCAAGGAAGCAGGUACAAUCCACUUGAGCAGUUAGGUUUACUCACGAGAAAUUGUCGCUUGUUAGAGCACCUGUUCAUAGAGAUAUAUGGUGCAGCAGGCCUUAUAACAGAUUCAAGCUUGUUAGAGUUUGUGGAUAAUUGCCCCAACUUAAUUUCGCUAUCGCUCCUAUGUUUUAUGCUAAAGGGCGCAAUAUUACAAAAAUUAAUUAAGGGUUUUCGUCAACUGAAGUACAUUAAUCUGUCGAAGUCGCCUGAAAUUAGUGGUUGCUUUUUCAGGGGUUUGGAACUUUGCUGCAAAGAUAGUCCACUGGAGACUCUGAUAUUGCGCAAUUGCUAUACUCUAGAGGAGAGAGAAGUUUUGCUGUUCUUGAAUUCAUUACUCGCCGGAGACUUCAAAUCCAUUCGGCUCAUUGACGUAUCAAACGUCAACGGUUUAGUUUGUGAUGGGGGCAAUAGAACUUUUGAACCAAGAUUUCCUAUUGAGGAGCUGAAAAAACAAAGAUCAGAUGUCACAUUAGUGGCAAUUUUUGAAUCACAAUCAUCAUUGUCAUCAUCAAGCUCAGGGGAGGUAUAUUCAGAUGGCACCUCUUCUUGGAGUUCUGAUUAUAGCAGGGAGGAGGAAGAGCAUGACAUCGACUUGGACUCUAUAUAAAUUCUAAGAGCAAGUCCAACGGUGGCCCUAAAGAGACUCUUAAACUAUGAAUCCUUAAGAAAAAAGCAAAAAUUAAAUUUAAAAUGUGAAUUAAGCUAAGGAACGUACCUAAUCUUAGAGUUUUUUUUUGUCUGCAAGAGUUCCAUACGUGUCAGUUUCUCAUGAUUUGUGGACUGAGAAAACAAAUUAAUUUUUUCUUUCCCGUUUCAUUUCACGAUCUCUCUCUCUUCUCUUGUGUUCUCCGAAGGCGACAGAGAAAGAACAAGGUCUCGAUCAUCAUCAUCCGACGGUGGAUCAUCAAAUCGGAAGAGAAAAUCCGAAGAAACUUGAUUGUGUAAAUCGUGAUGAAUUUGUUUUUUUUAGAUGUUAUCGAAAUUAGGGUUUGUCGAAUUGGGAAUUGAUGAAAGAUAAAUUAGGGUUCUUUGAUGUAAACGCAAUUAGGUUGCUUUGAAUACAUAAUCAGUCUCUUUCUUCGUUAUUAGACAUGAUUGAAGACGAUUUUUUGCCUUUAGAUUGUUUGUUUCCAUUCGGAUUUGAUAUCAAGUUGAAUCUCUGUUUUGUAUGUCUCUCUGUUUCUCUGAAGAAGAGCUAGACAUAGAUGACAUUGACAUCGACGAUCAUCAUCAUAGUCAACAACAAGAGAAGCCUAAAGAACAAGGGAUAUUGUCACGGCUUAGUAAGCAGAAGAUGGUGAAUAGGUUUAGCAAUUUCAAAGGUAAGCUGAAAAAGAUGGCAACUAAGAAUGAGAAGAGUGUUGUAACCAAUGAGAAAAGCAUGAGGAGAA